GUCGCUGCAAAUUCAGCGACCGGGUUUGGCGACCCGAUCAGUAACAGGCGCACAGGCGCCCAUACUCUCAUUGCAGGCGCUUUUUUU
rnacentral:sRNA from 1 species